AAGACAAUGCAUACUAUACGCGUAUCAGUAAGGAUUCGUCCGAGAUCGUGUUUUUGCUAGUUGAAAACUAUCAACUGACUGCUUCAUUUGGCGCAAGUCGAGUGGGACAUUUUGUAACCAUACAAG
rnacentral:snRNA from 1 species